rnacentral:rRNA from 1 species
CACGUAGGGCGCAAGCGUUGUCCGGAAUUAUUGGGCGUAAAGAGCUCGUAGGCGGUCUGUUGCGUCCGCUGUGAAAACUCGGGGCUUAACCCCGAGCCUGCAGUGGAUACGGGCAGACUAGAGGUAGGUAGGGGAGAAUGGAAUUCCCGGUGUAGCGGUGAAAUGCGCAGAUAUCGGGAGGAACACCGGUGGCGAAGGCGGUUCUCUGGGCCGGAACUGACGCUAAGGAGCGAAAGCGUGGGGAGCGAACAGG